GAACUGCGAUAAGUAGUGUGAAUUGCAGAAUUCAGUGAAUCAUCGAGUCUUUGAACGCACAUUGCGCCCCCUGGCAUUCCGGGGGGCAUGCCUGUCCGAGCGUCAUUGCUACCCUCAAGCACGGCUUGUGUGUUGGGCCCCCGUCCCCCCCGCGGGGCGGGCCCGAAAGGCAGCGCCGGCACCGCGUCCGGUCCUCGAGCGUAUGGGGCUUCGUCACCCGCUCUGUGGGACCGGCCGGCGCCAGGCUUAGUCAACCACUUCUUUUCUAGGUUGACCUCGGAUCAGGUAGGGAUACCCGCUGAACUUAA
rnacentral:misc_RNA from 1 species